rnacentral:lncRNA from 1 species
GACAGUGGGGAGAUCAUUUCUUGUUUGAACUGAAUCCAUUGUGUAAGUAUCCACUUUCUCUACCUUGAGGGAGAUGAAAGUUCUAGCUAUAUUAAUAAAACUGACCUGGUUUUCUUUCUCUAGGAAUCAAGACAGAGGGAUUGUACCGUACCGUGGGCAGCAAUAUUCAGGUUCAGAAGCUGCUGAAUGCCUUUUUUGGAUCAAGUUGAGUCCAUUUGAUGUCCAGUGACAGCACUGGGAAGACGUGACAACACAGGCUGGAAAAGAAAAAUUUACACAAGUGAGGAUUUUUUUUAAUUGUGAAAAAAUGGAAGAAAUAAAAAUCA